rnacentral:lncRNA from 10 species
CCUCAGAGUAUUUCUUGCAUCUGUCACAUCCUUUUCAGUAGUCACAGGCACAGAAGUCUCAUUUUAUGCCAGAAAGAAUUUCCUGAAGGGCAAGGUCAUUACCCAUUACCAACAUUCGAACAGGCAGGGCCUUCUAGUGGAAACCAUCAGGGUUUGCAGCACAGAUUUACCCCCCAGGCAAUAGACCCCACUGUCUUCCUGCAGGGUCCCGCUGAUCUAGGAUCCAAAGGAGUCCCAGUGAGAGCCAGGACCAGUGCUGGGCUCUUCCAGUGAGAGAAGCGCUUUCAGUUCUCAGAAGCAACCAGAGCUUGGGAGAGGCAAGGUGCAGGCAGAAUGCGCUGAUGGGCAGGUGUGAAUGCAGUAAGUGACUGAAGCCCUGCUCUGUGUUGCCUUUGCUAGGGAUGCAUUCACUGAAUCAGAGGAUCCUGGGCCAGGAGAGCUCAGAAAGACCUUUGGAUCAACCACUCAGUGGUUACCGAAGGCCAGCCUGCAGAAGGUGCCAUGGCUGUUAAAGAUCCGGUUCCCAGGCCUCACUGCAGACACUGAGUCCAUGAGGACCCAAGCCAACAUGGAGGCCAGCCACACUUCCAGGACUCUGAUACCCUUCUAAGGACAAAGUAAAAUACAAAAGGCUCUGGGGCAGAGCCCACUUGACCCAGGGCUGAGUUUAGUGCUCUAAAGUUCCUCCAAGGAGUCUUUGUUGUUUAUGUUUUGUUUUUUGGGGUGUGUGUGUGUGUGUGCAUGUGUGUGUGUGUAUGCAAACCAGGGUGAGUAAGCAUUGCUGUGAAUUCAGUUUUUCUGAAGCAAUCUUGCAAUCUCAUGAGAAUGUGAAAGCCCUGUAGAAAAAUAUCCUGAAACAGAGUGGGGAACGCAGAGAUGGGGUACAGGCUGGGGAGCCCUGCAGGCACAUUCUGCAGCCUAGAAUUUGACUUCAAAGACUCUAGCCUUAAGCUCUUGAAAUGUGUGGCAGUGGAUGAAGUAUCCCCCAUGAUUAUCUUAGACCAUUUAAUCCGGUAAACCUAAAAACAAGUGCCACAAAUUACUUCCCACAUGACCCACUGGAUUUUCUAGGAGCUUUCCUCUCCUCCCACCUGCUUCUCAUCUGAGUGUCCAUGGUGGAGCACCCCCUAAGGAGCAAGUCCUCUCACCUCACCCAAUCCUCUUACCCCUGGCCCCCAACCCACAUCACCCUUUUGGGCCUGAAAGACUCUGAAUUCAAGAGGAUGCAAAAAAAGCUAAAAAAAAAAUAAAAACAUUAUUUUAUUAUUAUCAAAGUACUGUCUGCACAUGAUAGAAAUUGCAGAUGAGCUUAAGACAAAAAUCCAAGUGUCCGUCUGCUCGGAGCUUCUGUUUCAGUCCUAAAGAGCAGGUUGCUAUGUUCCAGUUCUCCUGGCAUCUUACCUCACAACUUCUCUAGACCGUAGGCCUACCCAACAAUAACUGCAUUUGCCUAUUUCAAAGAAUAUGUGUCUGGCCUCUGAUGUGAAAGAUGGCAAUCGACCUAUCCGGGUACAACCCCACCUCCAAUAUUUGGCAUU